GCUGAUUCACUUCAGUUGGCGUUCCCCAACGCCCGUGAUUCCAUGAAAUUCAAUCAAUUGCUGCUUCUGCUGUUCUGAUCGCGAACCCCAAAUCCCAAAACUCCUAAGCCCAAAUCAGAUGGGCAGCAAAAGCAAAACCAAAGAGAAGAAAGCAGUUGGAGGACUCAAUCGACGACGAUAAAUUACUUUGGUUGAUUAGAUUUGCUGUACACGUUCUUCUUAGACAGGGUGUGCUUGGUAUUAAGGUGCAGAUCAUGCUCGACUGGGAUCCUAAGGGAAAGCAGGGACCAAUGACUCCAUUGCCUGAUUUGGUGACCAUCCACACCGCCAAGGAAGAACAAUAUCUUCCAGUUCCACCAGCAGAAAUUGAUAUAGAGCCAGUUCCAGUUCCAAUAGCUUGAAUUUAUUGAGAGAUCUAAACCAGUCACAAGUUAGUUACAACAGUAAAUAGUUAGCUCUGUUACCAUGUGGAAAGUGUUGAAGAAGAUAUUUUCAUUUCAUAGCUUAAUUGUCAGUACACAGGGAUACAUAUAGUCACAAAGAGUCUUUACACUUAUACAACUAACUACACAAAUACCACAACUAACUAUUUACUGUUGUAACUAACUUGUGGCUGGUUUAGAUCUCUCAAUAUUGCCAACAUCCAUAGCCAACAUUUCGACCAAACUCGAAGUUCUUACUCUUGGGAGGAAUUUGAUUCAUGGAAGUAUCCCUAUCGCUAUCGGAAGUCUGGUAAACUUGAACCUUCUGGUAAUGGAAGGUAAUAUUUUGAUGGUAGUGUCCCCGCUCAGAUUGGGAAGCUUCAGAAGUUAGAGUGGGAGAUUUGGAAAAUCUCGCGGAGCUCGAUGUAUCAGGAAACAAAUUAUCAGGUGAAAUCCCCAAAACUAUUGGCAGUUGUAUUAUGUUGCGGCGCCUUCAUAUGGAAGGUAAUGAAUUUAAAGGUCUAGACUCAUGGUUGUAUCCAAGAGACAAGGAGCAAUCUCAGAUUAAGAGAUUAAGCCUUAACCAAAGAUUGAAUAUUGCCAUUGAUGUUGCUUCCGCGUUGGAUUAUCUGCACCACCAUUGUGAAACAUCCAUUGUUCAUUGUGAUCUAAAGCCAAGCAAUGUUCUUCUUAAUGAAGAUAUGGUAGCCCAUGUUGGUGACUUUGGAUUAACAAGGUUCCUCUCGGAAUCAUCAAUGAUUCCACCCAAAGUCAAGCAAUGUCAGUGGGGCUGAAAGGUUCCGUAGGCUACAUUCGUCCAGG